GCUGUGUCUGCCCACUUCUUGGGCUGCCUUUGCCAGGGUGCCAGACGUCGAGUCUCUCUAGCUUUAUAUUGCUCAGCUCCCUCUAAAGUUGCGGCUUUUAGAAAGCACAGACCCUACAGACAGCGAGCCGCCUGCCUGAAGGUGGCUGGAAGUCAGGUACUCUCCUUCUGAACAUUUUUAAAUCAGGUUAUUUUGCUUAUGAUUUAUUCACAAUGGUGGAAGAGUGGUUCUGUUGGUUGGCCACUGUGUAUAGCUUGUAUAUGUAUAUGAUGUCACCACACCAAACUAGUCAGCACCCUCAUUCUCUACACGCCCCCUUCUCUUUGUUCAGCAUUUGUCACCCUCUGCCGACUCCUUCCAGAACAUGGAAUGCUUUGUUGGGAACUACCCGCCCUCAUCAUGGCAGGCUGGAAAGUAUCCCUGCUGUUUUGAACAGUUUUCACAAAAUGUCACCUAUGGGAGGGAAAAAAAAUAUCACCUGCUAUUUUCCUUGUUAAAGUUUAUAGGUAACUGGGAUUUUUAAGAAAGAAAAGUUAGAAAUGGCUGGAAUCAAAUUGAAUUAGCAAAGUUAAGUCAGCUGAGGAAAAAAAAAUGGAUGUUCUACUGAGCUCCAACAGGGGCCCAGAUAGAAAAGGGGUCAGCCCUCCAAGAGUUCACUCCUGCACUUAAAUGUCUCUCACAUGUUUCAUGUCCAAAGAGGUUGAGAGAAAGGCAAAAAGUGGUCUCCUGCUCCUACAUCUGACCACUAACAAAGACUUCUUAAGAGAAGUCGUAUCUCUACCCUCACUGAAGAGGACUGUGAGGAUCUCUUGCUCCGCACUGACUUCACCAACCACUGCAGUUCCAAGAAAAAUCCUUUGUUUGAUAAGUAGGGCACCUGCUUGCUGCGGGCUUGUCUGUCUCCACGUUAGGGUAGAUCACAGGGCCUCCCAAGGGGCAGAAUCUCCCGAUCUUUAAAGUGUAGGGCACAACAACUAGCAGCGGAAACAUCCGCACGACACUAUUAUCCUGGUAAGUAAAUGUUUUUACGGACUUAGGAAGACUCCGAGUGACAGCAGAGUAGAACCAGCAUCUACAAGUCACCCUCUGACUCCAACAUGCACACUGCAGCUCACGAUGCUCAGAGACCGCGGGGCAGGGGUGUAUAAAUAAAGGACUCAUGUAGGAAGCCAGGGGUCACCUGCUACUACCCAGGCAGGCUCCCCAGCCAAGUUGCCCUAGAGCGUCCCAACAGCUCACAGAGUCCUGCCCCUUUGACUAAGUGGAAGGAAAUUGGCAAACAGAAGUUAGAGUUGUGUAAGCUCUCUCAACUCUUCAACAAAGAGAAUGCAUUUUUCAACUCAGUACACAGGGACGGUGACUGGCAAAGCAGUAAGGGCCUGGAGAGAUGAAGUAACAAAACAGGAGAGGGGAGCCCGCCCCCCAAAGCCAGAGAAAGGGAGCUUGCCCAGCUGCUACAGUAUUUCAUUUUUCCAGCGAAACUUGUCACCAAAGUGGAUAAAAAGGAAAUGUCUGCUCACCCUUUCAAAAUGCCCAUGUUACUGUUAGAAAAACAAUUCUGGGGCUGGAGAGAUGGCUCAGCCGUUAAAGGCUAGGCUCACAACCAAAAAUAUAAGAAAAACAGUUCUCUAUUGGGAGGAGUGCCUCUAGCUAUGAACACCCCAUCCUCAUCCUCUACUGAGAAAUCUGUUCCUAAUUACUAAUUACUGGAGACGUAAACACUUGACAGAAAGAUUGAGGGGGGAAAAAUCUCCCAAACAACUUUUUUCCUAAUAGCUUUUCUCCCUUUUUUGUAAAUGAUUUAUGUAUUUAUCGUUUAUGUGCAUUGAUGUUUUGCCUGCAUGUUUGGCUAUGUGAGGGUUCAGUUCCCCUGAAGGUAAUUAUAAAUGGUUGGGAAUUUCUAUGUGGGUACUGGGGGAUGGUCCCUCCAGUGCUCUUAACCAUUGAGCGAUCUCUGAAGCCCAAAAGGGCUUUUCAUAAGACCUGAGACUCUCCAUGCUCAGGAAGAGAAGCUAUGGAGGUUACACCAGGCAGACGGAUAGCCAAGAGGAGUGCGGGACACACAGACUGGAGGAGGGGAAGAGAGGUGGACAGGAUGGGGAAAGGGGAACUGAACACAAGGUAGCCAAGUACAUCACACCAGCCCCUUCCUUUAGAAAAGGCUCAGGCCUCUUACCAUAGAGAGCUUCCCCAGGGAGGUCUGUGGUCCGCAGAAGCUUGCUGAUUAACUCUUGGGAAAAACAAACAAACAAACAAACAAACAAACAAACCAACCAACCAACAAAACAAGAGCCUGUAACCUUGUUUCGAUUAUUCUGCUAAUGUGUUUUUUCUUUCCUGUUGUCCUGUGAGGUCGACCCAAGCCUUUUUGGGUUCUCACCGAACAGCUGGGUUGACAGCUCCUGGGAACUCAGUAAGUUUGCAUGACUCCCUUGCCUCCCCUUCUUCUGUGAUUAACAGCCUGUAGUUUCUGUUCCCAGAUUCUCUUGGAAUGCAUAUUCUUCUACCUGAGUCAUUUUGCCUUCAAUAGUUCCCUCUUGCUUCAGUUUUGGGUCCUUCUUGUCUAUUUUCCUUUUGGAGUAAAACACAGUGUCCUAUCUCUGAUUCAAUUACUGUGGAAGAACACGGGUGGCCAACCUGCCAGCGUGUAGUCCAGCGAUUCUCAGCCUGCGGGUUGAGACCCCUUUGGCAAACCUCUAUCUCCAAGAAAUAUUUACAUUACAACUCCUAAUAGUCACAGAGUGUAAUUAUAAAAAUAGUCUUAUGGUUGGAGGGGUUCACCACAUGAGGAGCUGUAUUAAGGGGUCAUAGCAUUAGAUAGGCUGAGACCCACUAAUAGUGUCUGUCAUAACUUGAGGUCUGCUGUCCUGUGCUCUGUUCUGGCAAACUGACUGUUUUCACGUCAAAUGAAAAAUGCUCUCAGGUUUUGUUAUACCUGGGCAGAACUGGCAGCGCUAGUCUGAGGAUGUGACUCUUACUGAGUGAGACAAAGUCCUCUUCUCUGUGGCACAAGUGAGGUUAGCCUUACCCUCUGAGUGGGGAAUAGAAAGAAAGCAGUGCUUGAGGACAUGUGCUGCUCUCCUGAAGGCUUGAGUUCAGUUCCCAGCAGCCACAGGAGCUGCAACUCCAGCAGGUCUCCCAGGGUGCCCAUAUACACAGCACACUCUGUCACGGACAUAAAUAAACACAAGUAAAGAUAAUUUUCUAAAGAAAAGCUAUUGAAAGAUUGGUUGUCUUGGAUAAUCCCCGCUGAUGUCUCUUCUGUGUUUUGUUUUUUAGCACUGCCUCCUAUGGUAAGUUCCCUAACUAUUGUCAGAUUAUGGGGUUCCCAUAUUCUCUGCACUAGACAGGUCUACUCACAAAAGUGAGGCAUAUGAUGCUAAAGGUCACAUCAAACAUUCCUCUUUUUCAAAACCUAAGGCUUCCAGUAUCUGCGCUGCCAGUUCUGCCCAGUAUUGCUGCAGGGGAGUUGAAGCCCUGAAAAACAGCAGUAACCCCUGACCCUCCCCUCAGACCAUUUCCUGAGCAUCUCCUAACCCAUCUCCAGCAGAACAUGAGACAAACACGUUCAGAACCCAGUAGUUCAUAGAACUCCUCUGUUUUUAUAAGUGGAGGGCCCUCUGGUCAUAAUGAAGUCUCACCUCCUUUCUACUGCCUUCUAAAUGACUUUGACAAUCAGUAGGUACCAAGCCCCUGUACACACUGAGCCUUCCUUUCCCAGCAAGAACCCUCACCACUUACUUUGGUAGCUUAGACCAAACCACAAAGUUUGUAGGUUUUAUAGACCACACAGAAGUCACUGCACAGGGGGGCUGGCUAAUUGAAUGGACCUGAAGUUCUGACAGAGCAUGCUAACACAUACACCAAGAAGUAGUUGAAAAAGAUAAAGCUGAUUCACAGGUUCAGUUCCCAGCCCCACCCUGAGCAUUACUGGAUCCACUCAUUUCAUUUUUCUGCACCUUGGUUUCUCCAUCUGUAGAACUGAGAUAACAGCAGUGUCCACUUUACCUGGCUAUUGUGAAGACCAGGCUACUUAGUAGAAUGUUCAGGAGACAGGUGCUGGGCUGGGCAGGAGAGACAAUGACUUAAUAGUUAAAAAAAGUUACAUAUUACUCUCAAAGAGGACCUGGUUCCCUGCACCCUUGUGGUGACUCACAGCUGUCCAUAACACCAGGCCUAGAGGAUCUGUCGCUGUCCCCUGCCCUCCAAGAGCACUCCACAGACAUGGUGCACUUUCACCAAAAACACACACUUACCACCAAAGAAGUAAGUCUAACAAUGUAUGGGAAGUGGGUGCUGAGACCUGGUGAACAGUUAAUGGCUAUCAGCUAGAACCAUCCUGACUUGUACAUGAUGAACUAUGCUUCUGUCAGCAGGGAAAGCACAUUUGAGUUUCCUUCUGUUUUAAGAGAUCAUUGCUUCUUCCCACAGUAAUUCUGUUCUGACUUCUCCCCAAGCUCCAGACUCAUUAUCCUCCCAGCCACUGGUCAGUGGCCUGACCUACUGAGUGAGUGGUGGAUUCUUCCCCAUCUCAGUUUACCUUUCUCUCACUGGCCUUCCAGUUCACUGAAGAGAGUCCAGAAUUGUAUCGAUAGUAUCUACAUCUUAUUUUCAGCUAUCAGUAUCUGUCAUCUAACACCUUAAGUCACAUUAAUGCCUACGCUGUGUGAUGCCCAUCUGGGGGCAAGAUUUCCAGUUGUCCUCAGUUUUCUAAGGAAAAAAGGAAGUCAGCCCUUGGGGGAGGGAGGAAGGAAAUGCUGGAGCCCCGAAUCACAUGUUUCCUCCUUGUAUGCGCAGUCCCGUCC